UGGGGAAUAUUGCGCAAUGGGGGAAACCCUGACGCAGCAAUACCGCGUGAGUGAAGAAGGUCUUCGGAUCGUAAAGCUCUGUUCUUGGGGAAGAAAAAAAGACGGUACCCAAGAAGAAAGUCCCGGCUAACUACGUGCCAGCAGCCGCGGUAAUACGUAGGGGACAAGCGUUGUCCGGAUUUACUGGGCGUAAAGGGCACGCAGGCGGGUUUUUAAGUCAGAUGUGAAAGGUACCGGCUCAACCGGUGACAUGCAUUUGAAACUGAAAGACUUGAGUAUUGGAGAGGCAAGUGGAAUUCCUAGUGUAGCGGUGAAAUGCGUAGAUAUUAGGAGGAACACCGGUGGCGAAGGCGGCUUGCUGGACAAAUACUGACGCUGAGGUGCGAAAGCGUGGGGAGCAAACA
rnacentral:rRNA from 1 species